GGGGUGUAUAGCUCAAUGGUAGAGCAUUCGACUGCUAAUCGAGGAGUCCCGAUUCAAACCAGGGUGCCCUCU